AUGAGGGACACCUAUUUAUUUUUAUUCAAAGAGUAUCUAGCCUUUGAUCCCACCGUGUCGCCCCACUAUCAGGUGUUCAGAGUCCCCUAUUUGCACGAGGAGAGCAUCUACAAGAGCAUGGUCGCCCGCGGUUCUACCCAGUUAGACCCCUUGGUGGAGGAAUCCGAAUGGCCUCCAUCUACAUGCAUCAUGGAUGUUUUCUCGUCAAGGUCGGGUCGUUGGGAGGAGAGGUCUUUUGCUAGACAAGGUAAUGUUGCAGGGGACAUCGCCGAGGCACGACGCAAUCGCCAUUGCAGAUGGGAAUGGGCCAAAUGUGGAUCCGCCUACUGGCAACAGGCACUUUACGUGCACUGCCAGCCUAAUGUUGUCAUGAGGAUAUCCCUUUCCGAGGACAAGUACCGUGUGAUUGAAGCACCAAUCGACAUGAACGCCAUGACUUACCUAGGAAGAUCAAAAAAUGGUGUGUACUAUGCAUCAUUCAUUAAGGAUGUCUUUCGAGUUUGGAUCCUGGAUGAAUCGUAUGAUCAAAUGAAGUGGGUGAUGAAGGGUGAAUAUGACCUUAAGCGUGUGCGAGCGUCAGAUCAGCACGUUCAUGGUCCAUGGGUCUUAGAAGACAUUAACUAUGAAUUCUUUCGUUCACAACUUCCAGAAGUCAAAAAGGAAGCAAGAGUCGAAGAAGAGGCUGAAUGGAACUCUGACAAUGACGAUGUAGAUGACAAUAUAGAUGCGAUUCAAGGGCGUCGUCUCGGUGGAUAUGAAGUACUUGGAUUUCACCCAUUCAAAGAGAUUCUCUUCUUGAGCAGCUUCAUGGGAGAAGAAUGGGACGCUACGGUACACGCUUAUCAUUUGAAUAGCUCCAGGGUUGAAUGCUUAGGUAACAUGCGGCCAGCGCAAUAUCAUCUUUAUGAAGGCACGGCACCUUGCGAAGAGCGAGAAUACAAAUAUUUUCCGUACACGCCAUGUUGGAUUGGAGAGUUCCAUAGCAACAAGUGCAAUUUAUAA
rnacentral:rRNA from 1 species